rfam:Aeromicrobium sp. Root344 contig_1, whole genome shotgun sequence.
CACUCAUCACGAGGGGUACAGGGACACGGCCCUAUGACGCCCCAGCAACCAGUCGCUCAUCGACCAGGUGCUCAAUCCGUCCCGGACGACAGUCGAUCCGGGAAAGAUGAAAG